rnacentral:ribozyme from 14 species
UUCUUUGUCUAUCCUUUUUUUGUUCUUUUUCUUCAUCUGUUGGCAUGUCUUUCUCAUUAUGAGUGGUGGAUUGAUCUUUAGGCUGGGAAGG